UACGUAGGUGGCAAGCGUUAUCCGGAUUUAUUGGGCGUAAAGGGAACGCAGGCGGUCUUUUAAGUCUGAUGUGAAAGCCUUCGGCUUAACCGGAGUAGUGCACUGGAAACUGGGAGACUUGAGUGCAGAAGAGGAGAGUGGAACUCCAUGUGUAGCGGUGAAAUGCGUAGAUAUAUGGAAGAACACCAGUGGCGAAAGCGGCUCUCUGGUCUGUAACUGACGCUGAGGUUCGAAAGCGUGGGUAGCAAACAGG
rnacentral:rRNA from 1 species